ACCGAAUCGAAAUUUCUCUUUGUUUCGGAGCUCUCGAGCAGAACUAAUUGUAAUUCGUUUCGGUCGAAAAAUUCCGCCUCGUGGAAUCAGGCCUUUAAAGGCCGGAUUCCACGAGGCGGAAUUUUUCGACCGAAACGAAAUUUCUCUUUGUCUUUUUACAAUUAGUUCUGCUCGAGAGCUCAUGAAACAAAGAGAAAUUUCAAUUCGGUCGAAAAAUUUCGCCUAGUGGAAAACCGCCUUAAGGCCGGAUUCCACGAGGCGGAAUUUUUCGACCGAAACGAAAUUUCUCUUUGUCUUUUUACAAUUAGUUCUGCUCGAGAGCUCUGAAACAAAGAGAANNNNNNNNNNNNNNNNNNNNCUUAAGCCCUGAUUCCACGAGCGCUUUUUGUCAGCGAAAUGCGAAAUAUUUCGCCUGUUUCUUUUGAAUUGCGACCACUCGAAUAAAUUAUUUCUACUUGAUUGCUCACAAUUCAAAAGAAACAGGCGAAAUAUUUCGCUGACAAAAAGCGCUCGUGGAAUCAAGCCUUUAGAUGUUGUUUUACAUAAGUAAGAUCCUUUUGUUUUACAACUAGUAAUAUACAGGGUGUAUAAAAAAAAGCGCAACCUCGGAAUUUCCCAAGAAAUCGAUAUUGUUUUAAAGACAAAAGAUUUUAGGCGCCUGGGAAUUUAAAAUAGCAUAACUGUCAAAAUUACUGCACACGCGAGUGCAUAAAGCAAAAUUUAUGCAUUUAUUUAAUGCACAACAACAGUAAUAUGAUCUAUUAGCAAUUCGAUUUCAAUUCCCAGGGGCCUAAAAUCUUUUAUGCUUAAGAAUUGCAAAGUGAUUUCUUAGGAAAUUCCAAGGUUGCGUUUUUUUUUAUACACCCUGUACUUGUCCAAAAAUACGCAUCUAAAUCGCAAAUUUUCCAUUCUUUAGAAAAACUGUAUUGAGCCACUUUAAACGUGCACACUCGACAAUAGCAACACAUACUUGUUAAUUUAAUCGUAAGGUCUCAGUUCUCUAGUAGCAAACCUGGCAGAAUUCAUUGGAUUUUUGAACUUUUUAACUUCGAAGAAUGUUGUGUUGUUUGUGAGCAUGCUUAACUUUGGGAAUUUUUUCCCCCGGGGAAAGGCGAAAUUUAAAUUUCAUCAAAGAUCGCGCUAAAGUUUAUCAGUAAUCGCGGGCUUGGGUGACCGUGCGUGAUUGGGUG
rnacentral:lncRNA from 1 species